CUUGGGUACUCGAGUGGCGAACGGGUGAGUAACACGUGGGUGAUCUGCCCUGCACUUCGGGAUAAGCCUGGGAAACUGGGUCUAAUACCGGGUAGGACCACAUUUUGGAUGGUGUGGUGGAAAGUUUUUCGGUGUGGGAUGAGCUCGCGGCCUAUCAGCUUGUUGGUGGGGUAAUGGCCUACCAAGGCGUCGACGGGUAGCCGGCCUCGAGAGGGUGUACGGCCACAUUGGGACUGAGAUACGGCCCAG
rnacentral:rRNA from 1 species